rnacentral:piRNA from 1 species
UUCCAGUUUCCUCGGAUUCUUGUGUCUGA